rfam:Ovis aries breed Texel chromosome 15, whole genome shotgun sequence.
UUCUUGAUGGUCCAAUGGCUAAGACUUUGCAAUCACAAUGCAGGGGGCCCAGGUUCAAUCCCUGGUCAGGAAA